UACGAAGGGGGCUAGCGUUGCUCGGAAUCACUGGGCGUAAAGCGCACGUAGGCGGCAUCUUAAGUCGGGGGUGAAAUCCUGGAGCUCAACUCCAGAACUGCCUUCGAUACUGGCGAUCUUGAGUCCGGAAGAGGUGAGUGGAACUCCUAGUGUAGAGGUGGAAUUCGUAGAUAUUAGGAAGAACACCAGUGGCGAAGGCGGCUCACUGGCCCGGUACUGACGCUGAGGCGCGAAAGCGUGGGGAGCAAACAGG
rnacentral:rRNA from 1 species